rnacentral:tRNA from 1 species
GGAGGGAUGGCAGAGCGGUUGAAUGCGGCAGUCUUGAAAACUGUUGGACCCGUAAGGGUCUCCAGGGUUCGAAUCCCUGUCCCUCCGCCA